UUUUUUCAAAGAUGAUAAAAUAUAAUCAAAGGAGAGUGGAAAAAAACUAAAGACGAAUUUUGAUAAAGGAAGAAUGAAGUGAUUUGUAGAAGAUACUUUUAAAGUGCAUACAAUCUCAAGGAAUGAAGCAUCAACAUAUUAGAUGGAAGCAAAUCCAACCAAAUAUUUAAGCAUAAAUUUAGAAUUUUAAGGAAAAUCUAGUUCUUUUUAGUCAAAUGCAA
rnacentral:lncRNA from 1 species